rnacentral:RNase_P_RNA from 1 species
CGGACAGCCGCGCGGCGGCUUCGAAAGGGACCGCCGUGAGGAAAGUCCGGGCUCCAUAGGGCAAGGAUAACGGGUAACGCCCGCCGAAGGCGACUUCAGGAAAAGUGCAACAGAGAUAUACCGCCCUGCUUUCGCAGGGUAAGGGUGGAAAGGCGAGGUAAGAGCUCACCCGCCGCAUGGGAACAUCGCGGCGCUGUAAACUCUAUCCGGAGCAACACCGUGGAGGAGACAUAGGUUGGCCCGACCGUCUCCGAGGAGGUGGCUGGAGCGACAUUUGACCGGCUUUGCCGGCCGUCGCCUAGAUAGAUGGCUGUCGAUCACAGAACCCGGCUUAUAGUUCCAGUC